rnacentral:piRNA from 1 species
UGACAUAAUUGCAUUUUCCUUUGCAGCCA